UGGGUUUUCAUCGGAGCUGGAGUCCUUUCCCAACUUGGAGCCUCUCCAACACUUGCCCUCCCUUCGAAACUUCCAUAUUGAAGGCUGGUCUAAGCUUACAUCUCUUCCUCAACAACUUCAAAGUCUAACAGAACUAGAAUUUUUGGGUAUAUAUGUGUUUCAUAGUGUGGUAGCACUGCCGGAUUGGCUACAAAACCUUUCUUCACUUCGAACGUUGGUUCUUGUUAAGUGCAAUAAUCUGAUGUAUUUUCCAAAAGAGGAAGAACUGAGAUGCUUAACCACACUACAAGGGUUAUAUAUUAAAAGUUGCCCCCUUCUCAAAGAAAGAUGUACCAAGGGAAGACGCGAAGAAUGGCCUAAGAUUAAACACAUUCAACACAUCGAAAUUGAUGGCCAACUUAUAGUGUAAUUGGUGUAAUAGUCAUUCUUCAUGGGUCAGAUGAAAUGUUUGAAGAUGAUGGGUUAGGCUCUGGAGUACUUGUGUUGAUAUCUUUUCAUUACUUUGCCCAAGAAUGGAUCGAUUUUGGUCUCUAUACCAUCCAUAGACUCGUAAUCAAUAUGCAGGAGCUGCAACAUAUUCAUUAUCAUCUACUGUUAACCAUGCUUUGAUCGAGCAGAUGAGGGCCAAGCAUAAACCCAUUUAUACGCAGCCACACCUAAUCCAUGUAAAAAAUCAGUCGCGAGGAUACUCGAACUAGAGACGUCUGUUAACACACAAUGUUUUUGAACUAGUGGAACAACACCCGGGUGUCGAAGAAGGGGAUAGAUCUGACAAAAGCAACUGAAGUCAUCUCCAUCAUAGAACUGAAAAAAUGGACAGUAUUGAGGAGGAUUCUUUGUAAACAGAGAGGUUCUGGUGCCUUCUCCAACUACCCCUGGUAAACAAAAAUGUUGACAGGUAGUUAGUAUGCAUUCAAACCCACAUGUAGGGAAUCCUUUCAUCAAUUAGAACACAUCAAAUAGUUCAUCUCAUGUAUUAUAUGCUUUUGUAUCCUCUUGUAACUAGGAAAACCCCUACAGAAUCAGGAAAACAUCAGUGAUCUUGCCUAUUGGGUCUCAACAACACCCACACUAUUGUUUAUUGUACAAAAUACACUCAAGGCAAGCUGCACACCAAAAAAAAGCUUCAGGGCAUGCUAGGACCUCACCCACCACCCUGUUUGGCUGAAUGGAACAAGUAAAAGCUUCUUCAGUACUAGAAAUAAUGAAUAACAAACUUAAGAUGGUCUAGACUUUUUUGUUUCAGGGCCUUUUCUCAUCCCUUCAGGCAUGGAGAUUUCAAGUGGCUACAGUGGAAUGGCACCAAGAUCAACAAGAGCUAGAUCAAUAAGUGGAUCCUCCCAAAGUACUCGAUCAAAGAUAGUUGCAAAACAACAAGCAUCAAGCAUACACAGGCAAAGCAUUGUAGGAAGCCUAGAAUGCACCUGAGCUACAAUGUGUGAGAAUUAUAUGUGCUGGUUCCUGAACUAGUCAUAAGGAACACUUCCAGUAAGGUGUUCUUCUUCAUAAAUGUGCCUAUUUUUAACAGUUUGUUGCUUCGCCGUGUGUGCUGGCUUUCAAGAAUUGGAGCAGUGGUGCUCCAAAGCAACAGCCCAGGUUUCACAUCAAAUGCCUAACAAAUCCUUGGAUGAGAUCAUGAAUGAAAUCUGUCUGGUGCUAAGCAUUCCACAAAUAUAUCGAAUUGGAACAGUGUUCUGGGAUGACAAAUAUGGAUCCCAAGGGCUGUAAUUGGCAAGAUGCAGUUCUGAGAAAGACUAUCCCUUGGUUUGUUCAUCAGGACUGGAUGUUUCUUAAGUCCUAUCUUGCUUCUGUGGAGUGUGGAGUGGAAGAUUACUCAUUGUUAUAGGGAAGCUUAUCCAGUGGCUGAUUUCUUGGCUAGGUUAGCGGCUAAAAAGGGUUCUUCUUCUUCUAUGACUGUCUUUCCUUCUUUUACGAAUGAAGAACUUUAGGUGGAUGCCAGAAGACCGAGAUUUUUUAUCUUAUGGGAUUGAUUUUUGUUAGGUGGUUUCCCUUGCUGAUGGCAAUGCCAAAGGUGGGGUUUUGGGCUUUCAACGUUUUUUUUUUCGAGUUCUGGCACUGUUAGCCAGUCAUUCUUGUUUAACUCUUUUGUAAUGUUUCUUAUUUUUCUUACAUUUUUUAAUAAAAAUGAAAGGAAAAAAAAAAAGGUAAUUGGGAA